GUAGUCUGCCAUACGCAGGAAGACCCGCUGAACUGAAGCAUCUCAUUAAGCGGAGGAAAAGAAACUAACUAGGAUUCCCUUAGUAAAGGCGAUCGAAAAGGGAACAGCCCAACGUCUUAAUCCCGCAAGGGAAAUGUAGUCGGUUCACCUAUUGCACUGGUCUAAGUCAGAUGGAAUGCUGCGCGAUUCAGAGUAAAAGCCUCGUAUGACCAACCGCAAGCUUACGAUGGACCGGGGAGAGUCGGAUACUUUGAGAGUAGUGUCUUAAGGGGGUGGUAUGUCCCAUCCAAGGCUAAAUAACGUGAGGAGACCGAUAGAUUACAAGUAGUGUGAACGAAAGAUGAAAAGAACUCUAAAACAGAGGGUGAAAAGUUCCUGAACUUGCUUAGGGUUAAGGCUAUUUAUAGUACCCGUCUUGAAACACGGAUUAGGGAGUUUAUCUGUAGUGCGAGUCUUUGCACGUUAACUGUAAAGGCGUAGAGAAAGCAACUGGCGUUUGCAUGGCUACUGAGCAUUACUGAUAGGACCCGAAAGGUGGUGAACUUUGCCUGCACAGGUUGAAGUCAGGGGAAACUCUGAUGGAGGACCGUACGGGUUAUUGAUGUGCAAAUCAUUUUUCUGAUGUAGGUAAAGGUGCGAAAGACUCAUCGAACCACCUAAUAGCUGGUUUCCUCCGAAGUUUCCCUCAGGAUAGCUGUAAUGCAUUUAGUUAAGGGGAGUAGAGAUAUGGGUAGAGGUGCAGGGAGCCUUCCGGUUCUCAACUUAUUUUCCAACUUUCG
rfam:Trichomonas vaginalis G3, whole genome shotgun sequence.